rnacentral:rRNA from 1 species
AUUGAACGCUGGCGGCAGGCCUAACACAUGCAAGUCGAGCGGACGAAGGGUACUUGCUCCUGCAUUCAGAGGCGGACGGGCGAGCAAGGCCUAGGAAUCUGGCUGGCCGUGCGGGUUAACGUGCGGAAACGGGGGCUAAUACCGCAAACGCCCCGAGGGACAAAGGGUGGGAUCUUCGGACCUCACGCUAUCAGACGAGCCUAGGCUGAAUUAGCUAGUUGGUGGGGUAAAGGCCUACCAAGGCGACGAUGCGUAACUGGUCUGAGAGGAUGAUCAGUCACACUGGAACUGAGACACGGUCCAGACUCCUACGGGAGGCAGCAGUAGGGAAUAUUGGGCAAUGGGCGAAAGCCUGAUCCAGCCAUGCCGCGUGAGUGAAGAAGGUCUUCGGAUUGUAAAGCUCUUUAGGUUGGGAGGAAGAGCAGUAAGUUAAUACCUUGCUGUUUUGACGUUACCUACAGAAUAAGCACCGGCUAACUUCGUG